rnacentral:rRNA from 1 species
AUUGAACGCUGGCGGCAGGCUUAACACAUGCAAGUCGAGCGGGGACUUCGGUCCUAGCGGCGAACGGGUGAGGAAUGCUUGGGAAUCUGCCCAGUAGCGGGGGAUAACGUUUCGAAAGGAACGCUAAUACCGCAUACGCCCUACGGGGGAAAGGGGGGGAUCUUCGGACCUCUCACUAUUGGAUGAGCCCAAGUCGGAUUAGCUAGUUGGUGGGGUAAAGGCCUACCAAGGCGACGAUCCGUAGCUGGUCUGAGAGGAUGAUAAGCCACACUGGAACUGAGACACGGUCCAGACUCCUACGGGAGGCAGCAGUGGGGAAUAUUGGACAAUGGGCGAAAGCCUGAUCCAGCCAUGCCGCGUGUGUGAAGAAGGCCUUCGGGUUGUAGAGCACUUUAAGCGAGGAGGAAUGGCUCUUGGUUAAUAACCUUGAGCAGUGACGUUACUCGCAGAAUAAGCACCGGCUAACUCUGUGCCAGCCGCCGCCGUAAGAC